rnacentral:rRNA from 1 species
AUAUGUUCUUCGUGAACAUGGCGUACUGCUCAGUAACACGUGGAUAACCUGCCCUUGGGUCCGGCAUAACCCCGGGAAACUGGGGAUAAUUCCGGAUAACGCAUAUAUGCUGGAAUGCUUUAUGCGUCAAAUGGAUUCGUCUGCCCAAGGAUGGUCUGCGGCCUAUCAGAUAGUAGUGGGUGUAAUGUACCUACUAGCCGACGACGGGUACGGGUUGUGAGAGCAAGAGCCUGGAGAUGGAUUCUGAGACAUGAAUCCAGGCCCUACGGGGCGCAGCAGGCGCGAAAACUUUACAAUGCGGGAAACCGUGAUAAGGGGACACCGAGUGCCAGCAUCAUAUGCUGGCUGUCCGGGUGUGUAAAAUACACCCGUUAGCAAGGGCCGGGCAAGACCGGUGCCAGCCGCCGCGGUAACACCGGCGGCCCGAGUGGUGACCGUGAUUAUUGGGUCUAAAGGGUCCGUAGCCGGUUUGGUCAGUCCUCCGGGAAAUCUGACGGCUUAACCGUUAGGCUUUCGGAGGAUACUGCCAGGCUUGGAACCGGGAGAGGUAAGAGGUACUACAGGGGUAGGAGUGAAAUCUUGUAAUCCCUGUGGGA